GGGAUUGCAGCGGCAUCCUUUUUUGUGAGGUACGAACAAAAAAGAUUACCUCACAAAAUAAUAAUUUUGGUUUUGUGUUCGGUCGAUUCGCUUCGCUCGGGUGUAGCGGAAAGCCCGACCCGCA
rnacentral:misc_RNA from 1 species